AGAUUCAAGAAAAAUGUCAUCACAAAUUUAUACAGUGGUUAUGAUUCUAGCAUCAUUAGGGUCCGUAACAAAACAAGCCCCAAGUUCUUCUGGAAAUACCGAUGCGAAUUGCCCCCCUAAACCUGUGACGAUUGUGUCCGUGUUUCCGAACGGAACAAAAAAAUCGAUUUCUCUAGGAUCCUCUUCGGAGUGCUCAUGCAAUGAAAGUGACGGUACUAGUUGGAAAGCCUCAGAAGGGACAGCCCUGCUUAACUCUCGCCCUCGGUUAUAACGAAGAAAUGACAAGAAAAUAUGGUAUGUGCAAUAACGGAAC
rnacentral:lncRNA from 1 species